rnacentral:rRNA from 1 species
AUUGAACGCUGGCGGCAGGCCUAACACAUGCAAGUCGAGCGGUAACAGAUUGAUAGCUUGCUAUCAAUGCUGACGAGCGGCGGACGGGUGAGUAAUGCCUGGGAAUAUACCCUGAUGUGGGGGAUAACUAUUGGAAACGAUAGCUAAUACCGCAUAAUCUCUUCGGAGCAAAGAGGGGGACCUUCGGGCCUCUCGCGUCAGGAUUAGCCCAGGUGGGACUAGCUAGUUGGUGGGGUAAUGGCUCACCAAGGCGACGAUCCCUAGCUGGUCUGAGAGGAUGAUCAGCCACACUGGAACUGAGACACGGUCCAGACUCCUACGGGAGGCAGCAGUGGGGAAUAUUGCACAAAGGGGGAAACCCUGAUGCAGCCAUGCCGCGUGUAUGAAGAAGGCCUUCGGGUUGUAAAGUACUUUCAGUUGUGAGGAAGGCGUUGGAGUUAAUAGCUUUAGCGUUUGACGUUAGCAACAGAAGAAGCACCGGCUAACUCCGUG